GACGAUUGCCACUGCCACUGCUGCUGUUUGUGCUGCUGCUAUUGCUACUACUACUGCUACUGCCUGCCAGCCAGCCAACACACUUUCUCCCACACGAUAACGAUAUAGCUCUACAACACAGAAGAGUGUGUCUCUGGCUUUGGUAUCUAUCUCGGUGUGUAUAUUAUUUACGUGUGUAUCUAUGAGGAUCACCUCCGCAAGGGAUGAUGAGGGAUGAGAGAAUAGCCACCACCUUCACCACCGCCGCCGCCGCCACCGAUGCCAUCACUGCUACUGCCUUUGCCGCCACCGACCCUUAUACAACAGAGGUUACCAUAUCGUCACAGCAGAGAUACUUAUCCCAUCGCCCAUUCCAAACGUCAAAACCAUUCAACCACCCACAAAUCACCCGACCACCACACCACCCCACACUACCCCUCAUCCCGGGUGUAUUGGCGACUUCAACUUGAAAGUGCCGUUCUGGGAUGAAAACAACCAUCACACGCCACUGCUAAGCUCGCCUCACCCUCCUCCGUCCUUCUGUAAACCCCCCUGGCCAGUACCGAUGAUGCCGACAGCGCGGCAACACACAAUACCUAACGGUGCGGAGAGUAACUCACAGUCGCAAAAAAAAGUUACAAAGCAAAAGAAAAAUAAAAAUGAAGGAAAACCCCAAAGUGAAGAAAAAAUAAAAACUCCCACCCCAUCCAGAGCCUGUCGUCGUCGGUCGUCCCAAAAUCAAACUCCCAACCUUUGCACAGCUCACAGCACAGAGCGAGAAGAGUGUGCACUGAACACAACAACAAAAAUAAAACUAGAACGAAGAAAAACCGAACCGAACAGAACACUGAAAGUAUCCAGGGGGCGAAGGGUUAGGAAUGGGGUGUGAAAAAAGUGGUCUUGUCGUCGUCAUCGCCAUCGCCAGUGUCGGAGUCGUAGUCGUAGUCAUAGUCGUCGUGGUUGUCCAACGUAGGUGUGGGAAUUUCAACCACCCUUAUUCAACCCACUCUGAAUUGUAUGCCAUCCAGCAGUAGCACUGCCAACCCAACGCCAAACGCCCGCCCGACCAACUACCACGUAAGUGUGGUGAGAGGAAGCACGCGCGCAGGAUAACAAAACAAAGCAACAAAAGCUGUAAAGCACGACAUCGCGGCACUUUGAACCACGAGUCUAGUGCCAAAUGUUUAUACUACCACUCUCCAUGGAAUAAAAUUCCCCCAAUCUAUAUGUUAUGGCGAUAUAGGUGGCGCUAGAUAUCGCUAUAACAAGCAAGCCCAAGCAGCAAGCAAAGCAUGUAGGUAGGUAGGUAGGUAGGAGCAUGGAUGAAUGAAUGUGGGUAUGGCUGAUGGCGCACAGCUCAGCACAGCACAGCACACGGCAGCACUAAAAUGUGAAUCCAGUUCCAGUGCCAGUCCAAAGCGUUGAUAUAUCUGUGUCUAUAGAAAAACAAAAAAAUAUAUAAUAGCAGAAGCAGAAGCAGCAAGGAGAGUAAGGAGCAGUCAACAGCAAAGGAAGCACAAACAAGCGCACACACAGAUGCUACUAAAAAGUCCUGCUUCUGGCUGCCUGUCGUGUCGAGUCGAGUAGAGUCGUGUCGUACUGCAGCAUGAUGGUUUUCAGCAUUUUCUAUGGAUACUUACUUCUCAAUUUUAACUGAGGAAUGUUUUUAGUUUGGAAUUUUACUUUAUAAUUUUUUAACCAGAAAAUACAUCGUUGAGUUGCCUUUAACAUA